UAUUGGUUAAUGCGGGGAACCCUGAACCAGCGACACCGCGUCAGGGAAGAGGAUUUUCGGAUUGUAAUCCACAGCUCUCGGGGAAGGUAAUGACCUUACCCAUUGAGGAAGUCACGGCUAUCGACGUUCCAGCAGCCGCGGUAAUACGUAGGUGGCGAGCGUUGAGCGGAAUUACUGGGUGUAAAGGGAGCGUAGGCGGGAAGGCAAGUUGAAUGUUAAAUCUAUCGGCUCAACCGAUAGCCGCGUUCAAAAAUGGCUUUGUUGAGUGAAGUAGGGGCAAGCAAAAUUCCUAGUGUAACGGUGAAAUGCGUAAAGAUUAGGAGGAAUACCCGAGGCGAAGGCGACUUGCUGGGCUUAUACUGACGCUGAGGCUCGAAAGUGUGGGGAGCAAACC
rnacentral:rRNA from 1 species